rnacentral:rRNA from 1 species
AGGUCAAGCGAACAAGGGCGCAGGGCGAAUGCCUUGGCACUGGGAGCCGAUGAAAGACGUGAUAAGCUGCGAUAAGCUUCGGGGAGCUGCAAAUAAGCAUUGAUCCGGAGAUUUCUGAAUGAGGAAACUCACCUGGGUUCAUACUCAGGUACGUUAUACUGAACUUAAAAAUAGGUAUAUCGAGGGAACCGCCUGAACUGAAACAUCUAAGUAGGGCGAGGAAGAGACAUCAAACGAGAUUCCGUAAGUAGUGGCGAGCGAACGCGGAAGAGGGCAAACCGGGAGUAGAAAUACUUCCGGGGUACGGACUGCUUUUAGGACUUAAUCUGUUAACCGAACGGCAUGGGAAGGCCGGUCAGAGAGUGUGAGAACCACGUAGGUGAAAACGGAGAGAGCUGCGCAGGAUCCAGAGUACGGCCAGACACGUGAAACCUGGUCGGAAUAUGGGGGGACCACCCUCCAACCCUAAAUACUACCCAGUGACCGAUAGCGUAUAGUACUGUGAAGGAAAGGUGAAAAGCACCCCGGGAGGGGAGUGAAAAAGAACCUGAAACCCUGUGCCUACAAGCACCUAGAGCACGUCAAUGUGUGAUAGGGUACUUUUUGUAGAACGGUCCGGCGAGCGAUUGUAUGCAGCAAGGUUAAGGACUUAAGGUCUGGAGCCGAAGCGAAAGCGAGUUUGAAAAGGGCGUUAAGUUGCAUACAAUGGGCCCGAAACCGGGUGACCUACCCAUGGUCAGGUUGAAGUGGAAGUAAAAUUCCAUGGAGGACCGAACCGACCUCCGUUGAAAAGGCGGCGGAUGAACUGUGGGUAGCGGAGAAAUUCCAAUCGAACCCGGAGAUAGCUGGUUCUCCCCGAAAUAGUUUUAGGACUAGCCUCAAGUUAGAUACCUGGAGGUAAAGCACUGAAUAGCCUAGCGGCCGAGAGGUUAGCGAAGCUUAUCAAACUCAGAAUGCCAGAGUAUUGAUGCUUGGGAGUCAGACAGUGUCAGAUAAAUGUCAUUGUCAAAAGGGAAACAGCCCAGAUCUACAGCUAAGGUCCCAAAGUCAGGUUAAGUGGAAAACGAUGUGAAGAUACGUAGACAACCAGGAUGUUGGCUCAGAAGCAGCCACACAUUCAAAGAGUGCGUAAUAGCUCACUGGUCGAGCGUCUUUGCGCGGAGAAUUUAACGGGGCUAAACCUGACACCGAAGCUUAGGCAAUACAGCAAUGUAUUGGGUAGGGGAGCGUUGUAUACGCGGUGAAACAGUAGCGCAAGCGGCUGUGGAGUGUAUAGAAGUGAGAAUGCCGGAAUGAGUAGCGCGAAUGCAGUGAGAAUCUGCAUGGCCGAAAGCCUCAGGUUUCUGGAGGAAGGUUCGUCCGCUCCAGGUUAGUCGGGAGCUAAGGUGAGGCCUAACGGCGUAGCCGAUGCACAGACGGUAGAGAUUCCGUCACCACCAAAAGAGUUAAACACAGGGACACAUUUGAAGUCUCGGAGCCGGGUGUUGGUUCCGGUAGCGAUCGAGGGAAGUUAGUACCGAAGUCCGGGAUGGAAGAUGGCGAGAAAAGCUGUGUGUAUUUCUGCGGUGCCCGUACCGCAAACCGACACAGGUAGGUAGGAAGAAGAUUCUAAGGCCAACGGGAGAAGGGUUGUUAAGGAACUCGGCAAAUUGACCCCGUAACUUCGGGAGAAGGGGUGCUCCAGAGAUGGAGCCGCAGAGAAUCGGCCCAAGCAACUGUUUACCAAAAACACAGGUUUGUGCUAAAUCGAAAGAUGACGUAUACGAGCUGACGCCUGCCCGGUGCUGGAAGGUUAAGAGGAGAUGUGCAAGCAUUGAAUCGAAGCCCCAGUGAACGGCGGCCGUAACUAUAACGGUCCUAAGGUAGCGAAAUUCCUUGUCAGGUAAGUUCUGACCCGCAUGAAAGGCGUAAUGAUUUGGGCACUGUCUCGACAGCCCGCCCGGCGAAAUUGUAGUACCGGUGAAGAUGCCGGUUACCCGCGACAAGACGGAAAGACCCCAUGGAGCUUUACUGUAGCCUAAUAUUGGGUUUCGAUGUUGCAUGCACAGGAUAGAUGGGACACAGGGAAACAAGUGCUUUGGCAUUUGUGGAGUGGCCGUUGGGAUACCAUCCUUGCGAUAUUGGAAUUCUAACCUGCGCCUUUGAAUCAAGGCGGGGGACAUUGUUAGGUGGGCAGUUUGACUGGGGCGGUCGCCUCCUAAAGAGUAACGGAGGCGUUCAAAGGUUCGCUCAGCUUGAACGGAAAUCAAGCAAAAGAGUGCAAACGCAGAAGCGAGCCUAACUGCGAGACUGACGGGUCGAGCAGUAACGAAAGUUGGAGUUAGUGAUCCGGUGGUAUGUGAGUGGAAAUGCCAUCGCUCAACGGAUAAAAGUUACCCUGGGGAUAACAGGCUGAUCUCCCCCAAGAGUCCACAUCGACGGGGAGGUUUGGCACCUCGAUGUCGGCUCAUCGCAUCCUGGGGCUGUAUUCGGUCCCAAGGGUUUGGCUGUUCGCCAAUUAAAGCGGUACGCGAGCUGGGUUCAGAACGUCGUGAGACAGUUCGGUCCCUAUCUGUCGUGGGCGCAGGAUAUUUGAUGGGAGCUGUUCCUAGUACGAGAGGACCGGAGCGGACGUACCUCUGGCGCACCAGUUGUUCUGCCAAGGGCAUAGCUGGGCAACUAUGUACGGAUCGGAUAAACGCUGAAAGCAUCUAAGCGUGAAGCCGACCCAAAGAUAAGAUAUCCCAUUGUUUCAAACAAGUAAGACCCCUUGAAGACUACAAGGUUGAUAGGCACGAUGUGUAAGUGGAGUGAUCCAUUCAGCAAGCGUGUACUAAUAGGUCGAGGGCUUGACCACAA